GGUUCCCAAUUUUUUUAUAAUUUUUUUGGAUGAAAACAAUGGUCUUUUUGCUAAUUGACAUAAGCUAAUACCAGAAUUAUACUGAAAAUUACAAGGCUGCAAAAUUUGUAUCCUCCACAUAUUACAAAGAGACAACGUAUGCCGUUGUUUUCUACAAAACUUCAGCUGACACCCUGAGUUACAAAAUUGGUGUAAACACCAUAAUUAAGGAAGCAAACAAUUUGCUUCUAA
rnacentral:lncRNA from 1 species